rnacentral:rRNA from 1 species
AGAUUGAACGCUAGCGGGAUGCUUUACACAUGCAAGUCGAACGGCAGCGCGGACUUCGGUCUGGCGGCGAGUGGCGAACGGGUGAGUAAUAUAUCGGAACGUGCCCAGUAGCGGGGGAUAACUACGCGAAAGCGUGGCUAAUACCGCAUACGCCCGUACGGGGGAAAGGGGGGGAUCGCAAGACCUCUCACUAUUGGAGCGGCCGAUAUCAGAUUAGCUAGUUGGUGAGGUAAAGCUACACCAAGGCGACGAUCUGUAGACUGGUUUGAAGAGGACGACCACGCCACACGUGGGACUGACGACACGGCCCAGACCUCCGACGGGAGGCAGCAGGUCGGGGUAAUUUUGGAACAAGGUCGGGGGAAACCCUGUACUCCGAAGCCCG